GACGAACGCUGGCGGCGUGCUUAACACAUGCAAGUCGAACGAGUGGCGAACGGGUGAGUAAUGUCUGGGAAACUGCCCGAUGGAGGGGGAUAACUACUGGAAACGGUAGCUAAUACCGCAUACCAUCGGAUGUGCCCAGAGGGGAUUAGCUGGUGGGUGGGGUAACGGCUCACCAAGGCGACGAUGCCUAGCUGGUCUGAGAGGAUGACCAGCCACACUGGAACUGAGACACGGUCCAGACUCCUACGGGAGGCAGCAGUGGGGAAUAUUGCACAAUGGGGGAAAGCCUGAUGCAGCCAUGCCGCGUGUGUGAAGAAGGCCGUCGGGUCGUAAAGCACUUUCAGCGGGGAGGCGUUACCCGAAGAGGAAGCACCGGCUAACUCCGUGCCAGCAGCCGCGGUAAUUC
rnacentral:rRNA from 1 species